UACUACCAGCUUCCAUGGUCGGUGAUGGAACUGAAUCCUGAUCACUGUCGUCCAAAUCAGGUGAGCCGCUGCGUGAACUGUCGUUGCUUUUGAUCCUCACAAAGUCCCCAUGCUCUGCGUAUUUCAUAACCGGUAUACUAAAUGGCGGUAGCGGCGGCGGCGGCGGCGGCGGUAUUCCAACCGAUGGCGACUCCCCGCCACUGUUCGCAUUCUCAUCAUCUCUGUUGAUGAAACUGGUCACCUUAACUGGAGGGAGCGGCUUUUGGGUUGUCAUCGUGGGCCUGAUUUGGGAUAAUCUCCCUGUGGAAUUGAUCCGUGGCAGCGGUGGUGGCGACGGCGGUUGUGGAAUUGGGUGAAUAGUUUUCUUGGGUUUGUUGGAUUUCUUUGAAGAAAACAAGUUGUGAAAAACCGAAGGUGGUGGUAGCGGUGGGGGAGGAGGCGGCGGUGAGGGCGGCGGAAGUAAAGACGAAGGAGCCGAAGAGGCAGAAGCGAGGAGAGUCUCGAAAUUUUCGACACUCUUUUGUCUCUGCUUCUUCCUACUCCUCCUUAAUGACGUGAUCAAGAACUCUUUAGUGGUAGCAACUC
rnacentral:lncRNA from 1 species